AGGUCAUAUCGCGUUGAAACGACUGCACCCGUGCGAUCACAGAAGUUAAGCAACAUCGAGUCUGGUCAGUACCUACAUAAGUGACUGCUUGGAAACAUUAGGUGCUGUAUG